UGUUCGUCUGGUUCAUUCGACGCGUUCUCAUUGAAUUUCAAAGUUCUCAAAGCCAAUGAACGCCUAGUGGGACGCCGACAUACUACCCGUUUGGCUAUAUAAUAUGCGAAGACGAAACGUUCGGCAAACUAGAAUAUCUGAGCUCAUUUCUUUCUACUCUGCGGUGACAUUUGCGUUUGAUUGCGGAAUUUUUCAAUGCAUAGGAAACUGCUAUUCAAGACGGUAAAGAUGUUUCGCAUGAAUUCAUGGAUACAUCUUUGUUGGAAGAAAAAUACUAAAGACAAAACUAAACUCAUCGACAGCUAAAAAUGUCGCAAUCAAAGUUUGUUUUCAAGCAAAUAUAUAUUCCGACAAAAGUAUUGAGCAUUAAAUUAGUUCAGCAAUGCAGUAGGACUAAUCUAAUGGCAGUGGUUUGUGCAUUUCAAAUAGAAUUUUACGAUGACAUCGUAAAUAUUUCCUUAGAAAUGUAUAAAUUUUCCAAUAUUUUAGCUUAAUCAUGCCAAAAAAAAGUAAUUAAAAAAGAUUUGUGACAUCCUUUAGAAAUUCACAACAUACAAAGUCCUAAAAUUUGCAGUUCGUUUCUACCCACAACCCACAUAAACAAAAUACAGGUGAAUGAUGUUCAAAAUGCUUACUCAGCCACCAACGAAACACUUAAAAAUAAAAUGCUUGUCUCUCAACAAAAAAGAAAAGAAAUACACAUAAAAUAAAUUUGGCAGUGAAAAUUGGGAAACUGUCGCCAAAAUUCAGACAAUUUGUACGUAAUGUGUUAUUCUUAAUUUCAAAAUUUAAUGCAUAUGGGAGAUUUUGUGAAAUUACUUUUCUAAUG